rnacentral:lncRNA from 1 species
GGAUGUGACCUUCUCUAAAUAAAAAUCCAAGUGACAAGAAAGCCUAAAACUUGUAACAUGGGCUGAUAAUAAUGACAAAAGCCUUAUGCUUGCUCUUGCUUUGUUUAUCUAGAUCCAGAGAACUGUCGCUGUCUCUGUGAACACCCUAAAAGAUCACAAACCAGAUUUCCUACAAAAAUUUCCACAGUUCGAUUUUCCUUCAUCAUUCUCUAAUCCUGUUGGAAUAGUAUUUCAUCCCCGAAGCCACUUUCUGUAUGCUUAUGGCAAUCAGAUAUGGCUUUCAAUUGAUGGUGGCAACACCUUUGAAUUAUUAGCUGACUUUCAUGAUGAUAUCAUAAAGAGGACUUUUCAUAGUUUUUAUACUUCGGAUAUUACUUUUGUUUCCCAAAGUGGAAAGGUUUACUUGACAAAGGCAGGAUUAGGAAGAUAUGGUGAAAUUGGAACUGUUACUGAUAGAGUUUUCACAUUAUACUAUGAUCACAUGGGAUUCAUACAUAAACUGACUCCGAAUAACUUUGAAGCUGGUAGACCACCUGCAGCCUUUGGAAAUUCUAGAAGUAUUUUUGGUCAGGCUCCUGAUAUGGGCUUCGAGACUGCACUUGCUCCACAGUUUAUUUCCUUAAGAGAAAUGAUCUUUUUUGCAUAUGUACCUGAAAAUGAAUCUCAGGCAACAUUAUACACCAAGAAAUUCAACAAUAUGCACUAUGGAAAAGUGAUAAACUCCGGGUAGUUAGUGAUUUGCCUCACAUUUGUUUAGAUUACAUACUGGUUUUUAGAUUCUAAAUUUGUGAGCCUACUUUUUUAAGUAAUUUUCUUGGUCAAAUAGACUCUUUUUAUGAUACCCUGCAAUGCCAAAUACAUUUAUCAAUUCCAUGUUCUAGUAGCUUUAUAGUUCUGCAUUCUAUAUUUAAGUCUGUACUGUGCAGUUACCAGGGAGGAAUAACUAUUAAAAAAAAAAGAAAAAAUAUAUAUAUUUAAGUCUGUGAUCCAUUUCAAGGUAAUUUUUUGUGAAGGCUAUGAAGUCUAUGUCUAAAUUCAUUUUUUUUUGCAUGUGGAUAUCCAAGGCUAAUGUUUUAAAAAUAGGUUAUAAAGUUAAUAUAUGUUCAUAAUAGAACUUUCCUUAAAGGCAGAUAAAUAUAAAAAAGAAAAUUGAAAUCAUG